rnacentral:rRNA from 1 species
ACACGACUACAUUAGAUACCCCGGUAGUCCCAGCCGUAAACAAUGUGCGUUAGGUGUGUCGGUAACCACGUGUUACUGAUGCGCCGAAGAGAAAUCGUGAAACGCACCACCUGGGAAGUACGGUCGCAAGGCUGAAACUUAAAGGAAUUGGCGGGGAGCACCACAACGGGUGGAGCCUGCGGUUUAAUUGGACUCAACGCCGGGAAGCUCACCGGAUAAGACAGCGGAAUGAUUGCCGGGCUGAAGACUCUGCAUGACUAGCUG